ensembl:lncRNA
AGCAACUAGUCUGUAUUGAGAAGAGGACUGACAGAAACUGGUGCCAGGAAGACAUCCCAGUGCUAGUUUCAGUAGUAGAAGCAGCUGGGGUUCACUUUUCCAAGAAGAUCCUGCUGGAAGACUGUAGUCCAACACUAACUGUAACCAGUGGGAAGGACCAUAGGAGCUCAGAUAAAGCAGGAGAUAAUGAGACUCAAGACUGAACAAGGAUGACUCAAAUUCUGAGGUAUAAUGGACUAUGAAAACUGAGGACAAUCCAGAGUGGCUGAUGAAACAAAGGGAGGUGUUUUGAGAAAAAAAAUAGAAAAAAUAAGAGACAAAGGCACUUCUUCAGCAUUCCUCAACUCAAACCAUGAACCUUAUACAAAUGUCUACUGUUGGAAUUCUGCCUCCCAAUUACUCCAGACACAGCUCUGUACAAUGUACAGUCCCCACAAUGACUGCCAAAGGUCUUUAUUACUCCCAUAGUCCUAUCUGAGAGCUGGUCUUCUUCACCCCUAAGUUUGCCAAGGAAGGUGUCUGAAAGCAGAGGGCUGGGGAAUGGCAGAACUGGAAGAAGCGAGGAAUGACUGUACAUAGCAGUACUACUUUUGGUUUGGUUUCUUAUGUUUUUUGUUGUUGUAGUUUGCUUUUUUUUUUUUUAAAGUCUUAAGGAGUAUUACUACACUGUACAUCUUUGUUUCACAGUUUCCAAUUUCUACAUUUCUAUAGGUGCAAAAGUUUUAAAUGAAAAUUGAAAUCAUAGUCCCAUAUUCAGUCAAAAAUCAGAACAGGCAAACUGAAAAAGAUUUGGCACCACUACAGGAAACUGCAUAACACAUGACAGCUGUUGGGAACGACUCAGCCUUUUCCUAGAGGGAUCCAAGAAGCAAGAUUGUCUAGAGAACUGCUGAAUUCAUUUAUCGGUUUGUUUGCUCCAGCAUCUGAGCUACAGAGGACUCAGGAGAAGGACAUCCUGCAACAUAAGGCAGAGCACUGACCUAAGAUAUGCAGGAGUGCUAACCUUCCUUUAUAUGUAAAUAUUAUCUCUGUGGCAAAGGAGUCAUUCUAAGAAAUUAUAAACAGCUUUUGUAGACUGAAAGGUUGCACAUUCACUUUCCUCCACUUAACCACAGCAGAGAUUACAUCUAAUUCUGCUGCACUGGAUUCCAGCAUUUAAGAGAUUAACACACUCAUUUCACUUUUUACUGGGGAAAUUUUUUGUUAGGUUAAGACCUGACAUAAGGGAUCAUGUCAUGUAUGCAAGUUACUAUGCAUUUUCAUUAGAUAUGCAAAUAAGGACAUAAAAUCAAAUUAAUCCCAAAGCCAAAAAUCUCCAGAUAUCCUGACCUAGCAUGCUUAAGUAGCGUAUGUAUGACUGCUUGUUCAUCACUGCAACUUUGGCUUGUUUCAUGAUUAACUACAAAUAAGCUGCAUAUAUGUCUGGUUUUUGUUGGUUGUUUUUGUUUUGUUUUUAAUGUAUUUAGAUGUAAUUAUAGUAAAACUGGAAAUAUUUACUGUCAAGGAUUAAUCUGCUAAAUCCCAUUCAAAAACUGGUCAACCAUCUCCUGAUUUGACAAUCUAUUUUAGCAGGCAGAUACUUAAGAACCGCAGGCUUCUCCUUUAACUCCUUAUUAAAUGGAAUGAGAUGUCAAUGCAACAACUCGUUACUUAGUUUCUGACUGAUUUUCUGAGUUGUCUGCAGCAACAAGAACUCCUCUAUGAUAUGUUCAGCUUACUGGGGAUAGCAUAUUGAGAAUAAUCUCUUACACCCCAAAAUACAUAAAACAUGAUCUUUCAACAUAUUUAUUGUGUGAAAGUACCACGUGGAAUAUACCUACUUACCUAGUGAAUAACUUACUUCAGUUAUAAUUGACUGAAUCAACUUCUCAACUUCAAAACUGUGAACUUCUAUAGCUCAUUCCAGAAGCUACCUUUUACUCUGACAGGUGCCCAAGAAGAGAGCAUAAAGACAAACUCCCCCUCACUGGAAAGCAGUCACAACUUGCAUUUUGCUCCAAAAUAUACCAAAGCUAUUUUCACAAUUCCAGAAACGAGAAAGAUCCAUUUAUGUUUUAAUUAGACUAGCACAGAUUUGAUUUUGAAAUGGUAACUCAAAUCUUAAGAGCACUAAUAGUCAAGAUAGAUUUGAAUUUCCCACAUACCCAAUUUCAGCAGAGACAAGGCUCUACAGUGAGUACAUUUCUUGUACAGACAUGGAUUUAGUAUUCUUUUCAUAGGUGCUGUUUCUACUAUGAGCAGGGUUUUGUUAUGCUAUAUAUCUUUAUAACGAGUUUGCUACAUUUUAAGGUCCCAUGUAUUACCGUUGAGUCCACA